rnacentral:tRNA from 1 species
GUACCAUUAGCUCAGUUGGUAGAGCAAAUGACUCUUAAUCAUUGGGUCGUGGGUUCGAAUCCCUCAUGGUGCACCA